rnacentral:rRNA from 1 species
GAACGCUAGCGGCAGGCUUAAUACAUGCAAGUCGUGGGGCAGCAUGAGUAGCAAUACUUGAUGGCGACCGGCAAACGGGUGAGGAACACGUACACAACCUUCCUCAAGCGGGGAAUAGCCCAGAGAAAUUUGGAUUAAUACCCCAUAAUAUAUUUGAUAAGGCAUCUUAUUAAUAUUAAAGCUUCGGCACUUGAUGAUGGGUGUGCGGCUGAUUAGAUAGUUGGCGGGGUAACGGCCCACCAAGUCUACGAUCAGUAGCUGAUGUGAGAGCAUGAUCAGCCACACGGGCACUGAGACACGGGCCCGACUCCUACGGGAGGCAGCAGUAAGGAAUAUUGGACAAUGGACGAAAGUCUGAUCCAGCCAUGCCGCGUGAAGGAUUAAGGUCCUCUGGAUUGUAAACUUCUUUAUAUGGGACGAAAAAGGGCAUUCUUGUUCACUUGACGGUACCAUAUGAAUAAGCACCGGCUAACUCCGUG